rnacentral:misc_RNA from 1 species
GAUGAAGAACGCAGCGAAAUGCGAUAAGUAAUGUGAAUUGCAGAAUUCAGUGAAUCAUCGAAUCUUUGAACGCACAUUGCGCCCUGUGGUAUUCCGCAGGGCAUGCCUGUUCGAGCGCCAUUUCAACCCUCAAGCUCUGCUUGGUGUUGGGCCCUGCCCGCUGCGGCCGGCCCUAAAGACAGUGGCGGUGCCGCCUGGCCCUGAGCGUAGUACAUCUCUCGCUCCAGUGCCCGGUGGUAGCCUGCCAGAACCCCAACUCUCGUGGUUGACCUCGGAUCAGGUAGGGAUACCCGCUGAACUUAAGCAUAUCAAUAAGCGGAGGA